GAAGUCGUUACUCCAACCCUUGUGGAGGAGGACGCCGAAGGUGGGGCUAAUGACUGGGGUGAAGUCGUAACAAGGUAGCCGUACCGGAAGGUGCGGCUGGAUCACCUCCUAACAGGGAGACAACAAAAUGUAAAUAUUAAUUUUGUCACCUUAGGUCGAUCAGUACCUCAGAUUCUUAUUAUUUAAGAAUUUCAGUUUCUAAGUUUUUUCUAGGUCACACCCAUCACUUUUUCCUGGGCCAUUAGCUCAGGUGGUUAGAGCGCACCCCUGAUAAGGGUGAGGUCCCUGGUUCAAGUCCAGGAUGGCCCAUAUCUCUAUGUUGGGGGUACAGCUCAGUUGGUAGAGCGCCUGCUUUGCAAGCAGGAUGUCAGCGGUUCGAGUCCGCUUACCUCCACUGAAUACCACCUCUUACAUAUAGUUGAAGUGGGAAAUUGUUUUGAGUCGUGUCCUAAUUUGCUCUGAGCGAAUCUAGCUUCCUAUUUUAUCCAAGAAAUAAGAUGCUGGACUCAUUGAAUUUUUUUUCAUUGUUUUCAGAGAACCUCGACAACUGCAUAGAUUAUUUUUAAAGACAAUAAGCAUCUUUAAUGAUGCAGAUUUAUUAUUUGUGCGAAUGCAUUAAAUAACAAUUCUAUUAAGCUGAUGCUUCAAUUAUUGAAGUUAUUGGUCAAGCUACAAAGGGCUCACGGAGGAUACCUAGGCACACAGAGGCGAUGAA
rnacentral:misc_RNA from 1 species